AUGAUUAUUGCUAACACAAAUAAUCAAAACAUGUUAGUAAAAGAGGUAAGUAUCAACUUAAUUACACGGAUGUAUAUGCCCCACGACGCCAAAUUGUUUACCCGUAAAAUGGUACAGUUGAAUUUAUACGUGAUUUUUAGAUAAGUGAAUUAAUUUGAUCCUGAAAUAAUGAAAUAAUUAAAAAAAAUGCACAAUACUUAGCCUUGAAAUGAAGAUGAAAUCACGAAAAUAGUAAUUCCAUGGGCAGAGCUUCCGGGCACAACAAUGAUAAAACUAAUGAACAAGAAAGUAAAAUUGUAUAAAGCUUUUAAUCGAAUAUAUAUAGCGCAAGUUUGCCAGAAAAGUCGUGUCAUUUACAAUGAUAACAGAGCUCACUAUUUAUAGCUACGUCUAGGGAACAAGAUGCUAGGAUCAUGCCCUUCAUUAAUGUCAACUAUGAGGGCCAUUGAUGAAGGUGUAACGGUGAGCACAAAUAACAAAUUCUCUGUAACGGGCAGUGCACUAAAUAUUGUGAAAUAUUCUUCAUUAAGUGCUACCGAUCGGAGGGCAUUUUUGAAUAUUUACGGGUGUUAUUCUUUUCGAUGACAAACAAGAUAAUUGCCUUUGGUUCUAACUGUCCCGCACCUUAAGUUCCACGUGUCACUCUCUUAAGCGGUCACUUAGCAUAGCGUAUUUUACCGUUUACAAUGAUAUUUAACUGAUUAAUUUUUGUGAAAGAAGAUAAUAUGAAAUCAAAAAAUAUGUAUCAAUCUUUCUCCCAUAUUUGUUUCUUUCUAUUCUUUUAUGCAAUGAUAUUAUUUAGUCUUUUAUCCAAAUUGAUACUUAAAUUUAUAAUUUAGCAUAAAUUUCAAUGGAGAUAUAUUUUUCUAAAGAGUCUUCCAAGCUCCCAAAGCUAAGUUCAACAUCUCAAGAUUCAGUUAACUUGGAAGAACAGGAAAAUGAGCUAGAACAACAUUGUCAAAAUGAAAAGGUUGAUUUGAAUUCCUUAGAGACUACGAAAGAUUACCUAUUCGAAAAUAUCAUCGAAAUGACUAUGAUGCAAUAAGAAGAGAAUAUAUUCAAAAAGUUCUUUUUCGACCUCGAAAUCAUAACUUUUCUUAAAGAAAUUUUUAUGGUAAAAUGUGUCGUUUCAAUCCUCAAUGGUUUGAUGAGUAUGAUUGGUUGGAGUAUAGUGUAACAAAAGAUGCAACUUUUUGCUUUUAUAGUUAUUUGUUUCAAGAUGAAUACAUCAAUCAAGGGGGAGGAGAUGUAUUUUCAAGUAUAUGGUUUACAAGUUAAAAUAAGAAGAACAUAUUUGAUAUGCAUAUUCAAGAACCAAGUAGUAUUCAUAAUCAACCAAGAAAGAAUGCUGAUGAUUUGUUAAGACAAAAACAAUCAAUUCAAAGUGCAUUUGCUAAACAAUCUGAUCAAUAAAUCGGACUCAUUUAGAAGCCGCCGUUGAUGUGAUAAGAUAUCUUUUGAACCAAGGACUAUAAUUUCGUGGACAUCAUGAAGAGAAUCAUCUGUUAAUAGAGGUAACUUUAUUGAACUUCUUAAAUGUAUGCUAAACGAUAUAAAGAUGUCGAUGAUGCAGUUAAAAGAAUUCCAAAGAAUAAUUAAUUGACUUCUCCGUACCUUCAAAAGGAUAUUAUCACUGCAUGUGAAAUGGAAACAAUUAAAUGUAUCAUUCAGGAUUUAAAUGGUGAUUACUUUUUCAUCUUAGUUGAUGAAUUGUGUGAUGUAUCAUGUAAGGAGAAAAUAGCUAUUGUUUUGCGUUAUGUUGACAGAAGGAGAAGUGUGAUGGAGAGGUUUAAUGGUAUUGUUCCUGUUCGUGAUACUGUUGUUUUAUCUCUACGAAAUGAAAUCACUGGUUUACUUGCUCGACAUUCUUUAAGUCCAUUUCAUAUAUGUGGACAGUGUUAUAAUGGAGCAAGCAAUAUGCAAGGAGAUAUAAAUGGACUUAAAAUUUUGAUAACGAGAAAGUAAAUGUGCUCAUUCAAUUCAUUGUUUUGCUCAUCAACUUCAAUUAAUUCUUGUUGCAAUUUCUAUAAGAUGUGAUGAAGUACAAGAACUCUUAUUAUUAGUUUUCGAUAUAUUGAAUAUGGUAGGAGAUUCUUUCAAGCAUAGAGAUGAACUUCGUGAGUCUCAAGAAGAAGAAAUUGAAGAAGCAUUACGUAAAGGUGAGCUUGAAAUUGGUAGGGGCUUGAAUCAAGAACUAGGACUUGCUAGAGAUGGUUAUACUCGAUGGGGUUCUCACUACAAAUCCUUUAACAAUUUUAUUCUUAUGUUUGGCCCUAUCAUUGAUGUAUUUGAUGCUAUUGUUGUUAAUGCGCUUUUUGAAGAAAAGUGUAAGGCAAAGGGAUAUCUUAAAGCAUGUUUAACAUUUGAGGUAGACUUUAUAUUUCAUUUCAUACGCAAUGUAUUGGCAGUCACCAGUGAGCUUAAUGCAAUCUUUCAAAAUAAGAAGCAAGACAUUGUAAAUGCCAUGUUACUGGUUGGAUUCGCAAAGGAACGGUUGCAACUAAUGAGAGAAGAGGGCUUGGAUUCACUUAUUUGUGAGGUAUCUAAAUUUUGUAUCAAAUAUGAUAUUUCGAUAACUAAAUUUGACGAGCUUUAUGAUAUCAUUGGAAGAUCUCGUCGUAAAGUUGUUGAUUAUACUGUUUUACAUCACUACCGUGUUGGAGUGUUUCGUAAAACUAUUGAUUGGCAACUUCAAGAACUCAAUAGUCGCUUUGAUGAGGUGACAAUUGAGUUUCUUCUGGGAGUAGCUUGCUUGAACCCAGUUAACUCCUUUUCAAGCUUUAACAUUGAAAAAAUAUUGAUAUUGGCUAAUCUUUAUCCUGAUGAUUUUGAUAAAUACUCUAUGGCUGACUUUCGUUUUCAACUUGAGAAUUACAUUGUUCAGGAUCAUGAUAACAAGUUUUUUGAUCUUAAUGGAUUUGGUGAUCUUUCCAAAAAGCUAGUAGAGACAAAGAAAUAUGCAACUUAUCCUCUUGUAUUUCGACUAGUAAAAUUUGCUUUACUUUUGCCAGUUGCUACUACUACAGUUGAAAGAGCUUUCUCGGCAAUAAGUUGAUUAAGAGCGACUUACAAAAUCUAAUGGAUGUUUAGCUUUGAUGGUGGGCUAUAAUCACGUGUUUUAGUCGCUUAUUACACUCUAAUUUACUGCAGUUUACUUGUUUGAGCUUUAAUUGAUAGUGUUUUGCACUAAUUAUGUGUUUUGUGCCUUAUAGAAUUGAUUCCGAAUUAUAUAGAUGUUGUGGAGCUAAUUCGAGAUACUUGGAGCUUUGAAGUCUGAGUAAAAUCCCAAAGGAUCAAGCUGGGAUCGUGUUCGGGGGUCGAGGACCGGGUCUGGACAUCAAAACUCAAAAUUUGAGUCAUACUCUGAGAAAUUUGCACUAGUGCGAUGCAGGGUGCGAGGCAUAGUGCGACGCAGCAGUGUAUUUUUGCUGCUUGUUGAAUUGUUGAGCUCUCUAGAUUUUUUCACUAAUGCCCCGCAUGGCGCAUUGUCCCAUGCAGCGCGCCUGUGAAAAUUGUACAGAGCCAAUAUCCUAUUUCGACUAUGAGAAGGUGGUUUCAUCUAGGCCCGACCCUACUUGGUAAAAAUACAUGGAACAAAGUUAUUUUUUGACUUUUGACAUAGAAUCAACCUAUGGAGGCUAAGGAAUAGUUGGAGGAGCGAAAGCACAAGGCUUUCAUCAUUCCUUCCUCACUCAAGACCCGAGUUUGGAUUGUAUUUAUAUUUUCCCAUCUUUUAAUUAUAUUUGUGAUGAAUUACUCCAUGUCUAUGGAGUAGUUCUCUUUAAGGUUUGAUGGAUUUGGUGUAUUGAUAUUUGUUUGUGGAUUAUAACUCUAGUUUUAUGUAUUGAAGCGUUUUUGGAUGAUUUAAUUGUUGCAUCUAUAUUCACUUGUUCAUGUAAUCGAGAGAGGCAUAACUUGUAAUAUUCUUGCAUUAUAUUGUUGGUUGAGUUCAUUAAUUCUUCUUAGUAAUCGAAAGAGGCUAGUUGAAUUAUUGCUUAAACCUAGUUAUAUUAAGAGGAUAAUCGAGAGAAUUUCUCCUAAAGACCAAUCCACACACAUUCUUGCAUAUCUUUACAGAGUUUAAAUUGGUUCAUAUUGUGAGGUUAAGACUUAAUCGAGAGAGGAGCUUCUACUAAACAAUAGGACUAAUAAUUGUGUGAAUUCGACAGAAUCAUUUGAGCAAUAGAAGUGAAUUGUCUAGAGUUAAAUCCCAAGAAAUUAUUUUGCACCUAUCCAAUCAAAACUCUAUUUUCCCCCAUUGAUAUCUUUCUUUGCUUUUUCCUUGCUUCGAUUGUCAUUAGUCAGUAGCUUUAGAUUCUCAGUUAAUUUGUGAUGACCCGAAAGGUCAUCUCAUAUUUUAGAACCGAAUUCGAUAUUUAGAGGCCUUCAAAACCUUAUUUUAUUUCUCCUCGAUUUGUGUGCAGAGUCCAGACAUGUAUCCAAAAAGCUUUUAUGCAAAAAACAGAGGAAAUAACAAUUUUUGUCCUACAAAGUUGAUUUUGUUGACUUCGAACAACGUUUUGGAUCAACUGAUCCGGACCCGUGUUCUGACAGUCCCGGUGGGUCCUUAGUAAAAUAUGGGACCUGGGCAUAUGCCCGGAAUCGAAUUUUGAGGUCCCUAGCCCGAGAAAUAAAUUUUUGAUGAAAAUUGUAAAACUGAAAUUAUAAAGGUUUUAAGAAUUUGGUUAAAAUUUGAUCUUGUUGAUACCGGGUCUGUUAUGAUAUUUAUACCUUAUCUGUGAAAUUUGGUGAGAAAUGAGACUGAUUUGACAUGAUUCGGACCUUUGGUUGAGAAAACAGAAGUUUUGAGCUUUCUUGAAAAUUUCAUGCAAUUUGGUGCUAAAUUCGUAAUUUUAGGUGUUAUUUUGGUGAUUUGAUUGUGCGAGCAAGUUUGUAUGAUAUUUUAAGACUUGUGUGCAUGUUUGGUUUGGAACCCUGAGGGCUCGGGUGAGCUUCGGAUAGGCUACGAGAUGUUUUAGACUUAGUAAAAUCUGGUAUUUUGUUGCAGCAGUUGUUCUGUAUGCCCUUCUUCGCGUUCGCGUAGGUAGUAUCGCGAACGCAAAAUAUAAAAAGGACCACGGAGAAGUUCUUCUUCAUGAACGCGAAGGACAGGUCGCUAACGCGGAGCAACAGAGGUUUUAACCUUCGCGAACGCGACCCGUCUACCGCGAACGCGAUGCAUGGACCUGGGGGAGGGGAAGCUAACUCAUCGUGAACGCGACACUUGGAUCGCGAACGUGGAGGCUGGGGAGAUAUGCCUUCGUGAACGUGAUGGGUUACUCACAAACGCAUAGGCCAAUAAGGCCAAAGCUUCACGAAUGCGACAGGCCUCUCGCUAACGCGAAUAAGGCUUGUCCAGUGUUUUAAAAACAGAACCAAAAACGGGAAAGGGUCAGAUUUUCAUAUCUUCUUCACUAGAACUCGACCUAGGGCAAUUUUUGAAGAGGGAUUUCAACACCAAUUCAUAGGUUUGUGUUCUUCAACUUAUUUCCUUCAGUUUCCAUCAACACCCAUUAGAUUUCUAGCCCUAAAUCUUAUUCAUUCAUGGUAGAAUUAGAGAUUUUGGGAGAAUUCGGUAGUUUGCAAAUUUGGGAAUUUAAACCUCGAUUUGGGGUCGGAUUCCGAAACUAAUUACAUAUUUGGGAUCGGGGGUAAAUAGGUGAAUGGGUUUUGAUCAGAACCUCGAGUUUUGACCAAGCAGGCCCAAGGUCGGUUUUUGACUUUUUGGGGAAAAUGUUGGGAAACUUAUAAUUGUGCAUUAGAAUGAUUUCUUUAGCGAUAAUUGAUAUUAUUAAGUUAAUUAUGACCGGAUACAAGUGGAUUGGAGGUGGGAUCUAGAGGAAAAGCGAUAAUUGAGCUUUGAAUUGGUCGUUGGAUCGAGGUAAGUGUUGUGGCUAACUUUAGCUUUAGGGAUUAGGUAUUGUUGUCUAUUUGCUAUGUGUUUGGUUGUUGAGUACAACGUACAGGUGAGGUGACGAGUACCUAUAUGUUGUUGUCGGGUCAUAGCAUACGAGUGAGUCUUAUUUUUAUGAUUGUUGUAUUCUUUAUUCGUAUGUGUUCAUGCUUAAACUGGUUAUUCUUCAUGUUGAGCAACUCUUAUCAUGUUUUAUUGGAAUUUGAGAUUGGUUGAGUAUUGACUCAAAGUUGAGGUUGACGUUGAGAAACUAAAUAUUGAAAUGGGGCUUGUUAUUGAUAAUUCUAUUGCCCGGUUAUUAUUGUUUUGUUGUUUGGGUGCGGAAGAGUGUAAAGCACGAAGGGUGAUGCCGUGUCAUUGCAUAUUUAUUAUUAUGUGAGGAAGAGUGUAAAGCACGAAGGGUGAUCUCGUGCCAUUGCAUAUUUAUUACUAUGUGAGGAAGAGCGUAAAGCACGAAGGGUGAUGCUAUGUCAUUUAAUAUUCAUUAUCAUUGUUCCUUUCAUUUGUUAUGGUGAGAAUGAGAGUAAAAGUACGAAGGAUGAUGUCGUGCACUUGUUUUGUUGUGUUUCUUUAACGUUCUAUUCUCAUGAUCUUGUACUCCCUCAGCAUAUUUUUUCCCCUCCCAUAUGUGUUUAGUUUUUAUUAUCUAUUAUUAUGCCUGUAUAUUGCUUAACUGUACAGGUUUAUAUAUGUGUCUUGUCCUAGGCUCAUCACUACUUUGCUGAGAUUAGGCUCAACACUUACCAGUACAUGGGGUCGGUUGUACUGAUACUGCACUCUGCACUUUCUGUGCAAAUUUCUGUACCGGGCCGUGCUGACCCGAGUGAGCUGCUGCCUUCAGUCUAAUAGGAGACCCAAGGUAGAUAUGUCGGCGUUCGCAGACCCUAGACUCCCCUUCUAAUUAUCCUAGUUUUCCUGUUUUCGUUUAAUUCGAGAAUAAUUGUAUUUUCUUUCAGCCAGUAUUUGUAGUGACUCUUAGAAGUUCGUGGAUUGUGACACCAGAUCUUGGGUAGUCGUGUAUUAAUACUUGGAUUAUUAUGGAUUUCCGCACUUUUUUACUCUGUUUUUGUUUAAAUACUGUUAUUUACUGAUUUGGAUAGUUGUUAGAGUAUUAAAUCAUUAUAUGUCUGCUUGCCUAGCAUUCUGAAAAGUUAGGCACCAUCACGAUCCCGACGGUAGGAAAUUCGAAUCGUGACAAAUUGGUAUCAGAGCACUAGGUUGCCUAGGUCUCACUAUUCAUGAACAAGCUAGGUGGAGUUUGAGGGACGGACGUCUGUGCUUAUCCCCUAGAGGCUUCAGAGUUUAGGAACAAUUUCACUUCUAUUAUACUCUGUCGUGCGAUCUGAUCUCUAAAUGCUAAUUGAACUUUCUACUCUUGUCCUUUCGUAGAUAGCCAGAACACGUAUCGCUUCAUCAGCUGAUCAGCAGCCCGAGCUCCCAGUGGCAGCUCCUACGAGGAGCAGAGGUCGAGCCCGAGGCUGAGGCCGUGCCAGAGGCCGAGGUAUGGGCAGGGCUCAGUCUACGGCUCGAGCAGCAGUACCAAUAAUGGAGCCUUAGGUGGAGUUUGAUGAUGAGCUCCCGGCCUAGACUGUUCCUGCUAGACCAGCUCAGGUUCUAGAGGGGUUCAUCGCUACCCCAGUACUUCAGGAUGCCUUGGUCCGUCUAGCGGGCCUUAUGGAGAGUGUUACUCAGGCUAGCAUAUUCCGUGUAGCACCAGCCGUCUCGAGGGCUGGGGAGGAGCACAGACUCCCGCUACUCACACUUCGGAGUAGAUGGCUUCUUAGUUUCAGACUCUAGUAGCUCAGCCAGUUGGGGUAGUUCCACCGGGUGUUACAAUACAAACCAGUGAUGGGUCAGCUAUGUCUUUUGAUGUUUUGUGGAGAUUGGAUAGGUUCACCAAGCUUUUCACCCCUACCUAUGGAAGUACAUCUUCAGAGGAUCCCCAGGACUAUUUGGAUAAUUGUCAUGAGGUGUUACGUAACAUGGGGAUAGUGGAGACCAAUGGGGUCGACUUUGAUAUUUUUCGUCUGUCAGGUUCCGCCAAGAAAUGGUGGAGGGAUUUUUGUUUGGCGAGGCUAGUUGGGUUGCCUGCUUUGAUGUGGGACCAAUUCUCUCAGAUAUUUCUCGAGAAUUUCCUUCCUAUUACACUGAGAAAGGACUAUUGCAUGCAGUUCGAGCGUCUCUAGUAGGGCAGCAUGUCCGUUACUCAGUAUGAGCCCGCUUUAUUGAUUUGACCCAUCAUGUUCUUCUUAUACUCCCCACCGAGAGAGAGAGAGAGUAUGAGGAGGUUUAUUGAGCGACUUGCUCAGCGUAUCAUAUUGCAGAUGGCUAUGGAGACAGGGAGCGAGAUCGUUUUCUAGGAUGCGACCAAUAUGGCCAGGCAAGUGGAGAUAGUUUUAGCUCAGGGGAGUGGUCAGGGGUCUAAAAAGAGGCCUUGUCACUCCGAUGGAUUCAUUUCCACCUCAUCUGGUGGUCGGGGUACUUUGGGUAGAGACCAUCCUCCCAGGCCAUUAUAUUCAACACUUCAAACUUCUUACGGUGCCUCAGGUGGUCGUGGCUCUUAUAUGUAGUAUUCCGAUCAGCUAGCCUAUAGUGAACCACUAGCUCCUAUCAUUGCACCUAUGCUCUAGAGUUUUCAGAGUGGUUACUCAGGCCGCCAGGGUCAGUCUCAGGGUCAUCAGCCACAACAGCCGAAGUCUUGUUAUACUUGUGGUGAUCUGAGGCAUAUUUAUAGGUAUUGUCCUCAAGCAUCGAACAGUUCUCAACAUUAGGGUUCUCGUUCCAUGGUCCCAGCACCGGGUGUUCCAGCGCCCACUCAGCCAGCUAGAGGUAGGGGUUAGAAAGCUAGAGGUCGAGGUAUUAGAGGUGGAGGGCAGGCCGCUAGAGGUGAAGGCCAGCCAGCAAGUGGUCGUCCCAGGGAUAUAGUUCAGAGGUAUGGGGCCAAGACCCGAUGUUAUGCUCUCCCAACCUAGAGUAGAUCUCCUAUUUCUCGAUAUGGUUGAUUUUGAUAUCAUUUUGGGGAUGAAUUGGAUGUCACCUUAUCAUGCUAUAUUGGAUUAUCACGCCAAGACCGUGACAGUAGCCUUGCCGGGGUUGCCUCAAUUGGAGUGGAGAGGGACUCUUGGUCAUUAUACCAGCAUGGUUAUUUCUUAUAUGAAGGCUCGGUGUAUGGUCGAGAAGGGGUGUUUGGCUCAUUUGGCAUAUGUUCGUGAUUCUAGUGCGGAGGUUCCUUCCAUGGAUUCCAUACCAGUUACUUGUGAGUUUCUAGAGGUAUUUCCAAUAGACCUGUCGGGGAUGCUGCCCUACAGGGAUAUUGACUUUUGCAUAGAUUUAGCUCCUGGCACUCAACCCAUUUCUAUUCUGCCAUAUCGUAUGGCCCUGCCAGAGUUGAAAGAAUUGAAAGAAUUGAAGGAGCAGUUGCAAGACUUGAUUGAUAAGGGCUUUAUUAGGCCAAGUGUCUCGCCUUGGGGUGCGCCGGUGUUGUUUGUAAAGAAAAAAGAUGGAUCGAUGAUGAUGUGCAUAGAUUAUCGGCAGUUGAACAAAGUCACCAUCAAGAACAAGUAUUUGCUGCUGAGGAUUGAUGACUUAUUUUAUCAGCUUCAGGGUGCCAAGGUGUUUUCAAAGAUCGAUUUGAGGUCUGGAUACCAUCAGUUGAGGAUUAGGGAAUCCGAUGUCCCUAAGAUAGCUUUUCGGACUCGGUAUGGGCAUUAUGAGUUUCUAGUGAUGUCAUUUGGGUUGACAAAUGCCCCAGCAGCUUUUAUGGAUUUGAUGAACUGGGUGCUCAAGUCCUAUCUGGAUUUCUUCGUGGUUGUUUCUAUUGAUUAUAUCUUGAUCUACUCCCGUAGCUGAGAGGAGCAUGAGCAGCAUCUUCGAAUCAUUCUUCAGACUCUGAGAGACAACUAGUUAUAUGCUAAGUUUUUGAAAUGUGAGUUUUGGUUGACUUUAGUUGCUUUCUUAGGUCAUAUUGUAUCAAUAAAGUGUAUUCAGGUGGAUCCUAAGAAGAUUGAGGCAGUCAAGGUCUGGCCUAGACCCACAUCAGCUACAGAGAUCUGGAGUUUCUUGGGUUUGGCGGGUUAUUACUACCAGUUUGUGGAGGGGUUUUCAAUCUAUUGUAGCCCCGAUGACCAGGUUGACCCAGAAGGGUGCCACGUUUAGGUGGUCGGACGAGUGUGAGGUGAGCUUUCAGAAGCUCAAGACUGCUUUGACUACGGCACUAGUGUUGGUGUUGCCUACAGGUUUAGGUCCAUAUACAGUAUAUUUGACGCAUCUCGUAUUGGACUUGGUGCAGUAUUGAUGUAGGAUGGCAAAGUUAUUGCAUACGCUUCGCGAUAGUUGAAGAUUCAGGAGAAGAAUUAUCUAGUUCAUGACUUGGAGGUAGCAGCCAUUGUUCACACGCUGAAGAUUUGGAGGCACUAUCUAUAUGGCGUGUCGUGUAAGGUGUUCACGGAUCAUAAGAGUUUGCAGUAUUUGUUCAAGAAGAAGGAGCUCAAUUUGAGGCAAAGGAGGUGGUUGGAGCUAUUGAAAGACUAUGAUAUCACCAUCUUGUAUCAUCCCGAGAAGGCCAAUAUGGUAGUCGAUGCUUUGAGUAGGAAGUCAGCUAGUAUGGGCAGUCUUGCGUAUAUUCCAGGUCGGUGAGAGACCACUUGCUUUAGAUGUUCAGGAGUUGGCCAAUUAGUUCGUGAGGUUAGAUGUUUCUGAGACUAGUCGUAUACUAGCUUUUACAGUCGUUCGGUCUUCCUUUUUUGAGCGUAUUAGGGAGAGGCAGUAUGAUGAUCCUUAUUUGCUUGUCCUUAGGGACACAGUGCGGCAUGGUGAUCUAAGCAGGUUACGGUUGGAGAUGAUGGAGUAUUGAGGAUAUAGGGUUGUGUUUAUGUGCCUAAUGUGGAUGUGAUUCGUGAGUUAAUUCUAGAGGAGGCCCACAGUUCUCGGUAUUCUAUUCAUCCGAAUGCCACUAAGAUGUAUCCGGACUUGCAGCAGCAUUAUUGGUAGAGGAGGAUGAAGAAAGAUAUUGUUGCAUAUGUAGCUUGGUGUUUAAAUCGUAAGCAAGUAAAGUACGAGCAUGAGAGACCUGGUGGUUUGCUUCAGAAGAUAGAGAUUCCUGAGUGGAAGUAGGAGCGGAUCACUAUGGAUUUUAUUGUUGGACUCCUGCGACUCAGAGGAAGUUCGACGCAGUUUGGGUUAUUAUGGAUAGACUGACUAAGUUAGUGCAUUUCAGUCUCGUGGUAGUUUCCUAUUCUUCGGAGCGGUUGGCAGAGAUUUAUAUUCGUGAGAUCGUUCGUCUCCAUGGUGUGCCCACAUCUAUCAUUUCUGAUCGAGGUAUGCAGUUUACCUUGCAAUUCUAGAUGGCAAUAUAGCGUGAGUUGGGUACGUGGGUCGAGUUGAGCACAACAUUAUCCUCAGACGGACGGACAGUCCGAGCGUACAAUUCAAAUCUUGGAGGAUAUGAUUCGCGCAUGUGUUAUUGACUUUGGAGGUUCUUGGUAUCAGUUCUUGCUGUUAGUAGAGUUUGCCGACAACAAUAGUUAUCAGUCGAGCAUCCAGAUUGCUCCCUAUGAGGCAUUAUAUGGUAGACGAUAUCAAUCUUUGGUUGGGUGGUUUGAGCCAGGGGAGAUUCAGUUAUUGGGUACAGAUUUAGUACAAGAUGCCUUGAAUAAGGUUAAGAUCAUUCAAGAUAGACUUCGUACAGCUCAGUCCAGGCAAAAGAGUUAUGCCGACUAUAAGGUUCGUGACAUGGCAUUCAUAGUCGGAGAGAGAGUGUUGCUUUGGGUGUCACCCAUGAAGGGUGUGAUGCAGUUUGGAAAGAAGGGCAAGUUAAGCCCUAGGUUCAUCGGGCCUUUUGAGAUCCUUGAUCGAGUGGGGGAGGUGGACUACAGACUCGCGUUGCCAUCGGGUUUAUCAGCGGUACAUCCAAUGUUUCAUGUGUCCAUGCUUCGGAAGUAUCACGGCGAUCCAUCCCACGUAUUAGAUUUCAACACUGUCCAGCUGGACAAGGAUUUGACCUACGAGGAGGAGCUGGUAGCUAUUUUAGACAGGAAGGUUCGUUAGUUGAGAUCGAAGAGUUAUCCUUCGGUUCAUGUGUAGUAGAGAGGUCAGUCUGUUAAGGCAACUACAUGGGAGUCCGAGUCUGAGUCCGAUAUGUGGAGCAGAUAUCCCCAUCUUUUCACUAGCUCAGGUACUUUUCUAUGUUCAUUCGAGAUGAAUGGAUGUUUUAGAGGUGGAGAAUGUGAUGAUCUGAAAGGUCAUCUUGUGUUUUAGAACCCAAUUUGGUGUUUUGAGGCCUUCAAAACCUCAUUUUAUUCCUCCUCGAUUUGUGUGCACAGUUCGGGCAUUUAUCCGGAAAGCUUUUAUGUGAAAAACUGAGGAAAUAAUAAUUUUUGGCCUAAAAAGUUGAUUUUGUUGACUUCAGUCAAUGUUUUGAGUAAACGGAUCCUGACCCAUAUUCUGACAGUCCCAGUGGGUCUGUAGUAAAAUAUAGGACCUGGGCAUAUGCCCGGAAUCGAAUUCCGGGGUCCCUAGCCCGAGAAAUGAAUUUUUGAUGAAAAUUGUAAAACUGAAAUUAUAAAGGUUUUAAGAAUUUGGUUAAUAAUUGAUCUUGUUGAUACCGGGUCCGUAUUGUGGUUCUGAAGCCCGGUAUAGGUCUGUUAUGAUAUUUAUACCUUAUUUGUAAAAUUUGGUGAGAAACGGAACUGAUUUAACGUGAUUCGGACCUUUGGUUAAGAAAAUAGAAGUUUUGAGCUUUCUUGAAAAUUUCAUGCAAUUUGGUGCUAAAUUUAUAGUUUUAGGUGUUAUUUUGGCGAUUUGAUCGCGUGAGCAAGUUCGUAUGAUAUUUUAAGACUUGUGUGCAUGUUUGGUUUGGAGCCCCGAAGGCUCAGAUGAGUUUCGGAUAGGCUACGGGAUGUUUUAGACUUAGGAAAAUCUGGUAUUUUGCUGCAGCAGUUGUUCUGAUAUGCCCUUCUUCGUGUUCGCGUAGGUAGUAUCGCGAACGCGAAAGGUAAAAAGGGGCAGGGGGAAUUUGUUCUUCACGAAUGUGAAGGACAGGUCGUGAACGCGGAGCAACAGUGGCUUUACCCUUCGCGAAUACGACCCGUCUACCGCGAACGCGACGCAUGGGACUUGAGGUAGGGGAAGUUAACUCAUCGCAAAUGCGGCACUUGGAUCGUGAAUACGGAGGCUGGGGGGAUAUUCCUUCGCGAACGCGAUGGUUUACUCGCGAAUGCGUAGGCUAAUAGGGCCAAAGCUUCGCGAAUGCGGCAGGCCUCUCGUGAACGCGAAUAUGGCAUGUCCACUGUUUUAAAAACAGAACCAAAACGGGAAAGGGUCAAAUUUUCAUAUCUUCUUCACUAUAACUCGACCUAGGGCGAUUUUUUAAAAGGGAUUUCAAUACCAAUUCAUAGGUUUGUGUUCUUCAACUCACUUCCUUCAAUUUUUAUCAACACCUAUUAGAUUUCUAGCCCUAAAUCUUGUUCAUUCAUGGUAGAAUUAGGGAUUUUGGGAGAAUUGGGGAUUUUGCAAAUUUGAGAAUUUAGACCUCGAUUUGGGGUCGGAUUUCGAAACUAAUUACAUAUUUGGGCUCGGGGUUGAAUGGAUUUUGGUUCGAACCUCGAGUUUUGACCAAGCGGGCUUGGGGUCAGUUUUUGACUUUUUGAGGAAAAUAUUGGUAAACUUAUAAUUGUGCAUUGGAAUUGAUUUCUUUAGCGAUAAUUGAUAUUAUUAAGUUAAUUAUGACCAGAUACAAGUGGAUUGGAGGUGGGAUCUAGAGGAAAAGCGGUAAUUAAGCUUUGAAUUGGUCGUUGGACGAGGUAAGUGUUGUGGCUAACCUUAGCUUUAGGGAUUAGGUAUUGUUGUCUAUUUGCUAUGUGUUUGGUUGUUGAGUACAACGUACAGGUGAGGUGACGAGUACCUAUAUGUUGUUGUCGGGUCAUAGCAUACGAGUGAGUCUUAUUUUUAUGAUUGUUGUAUUCUUUAUUCGUAUGUGUUCAUGCUUAAACUGGUUAUUCUUCAUGUUGAGCAACUCUUAUCAUGUUUUAUUGGAAUUUGAGAUUGGUUAAGUAUUGACUCAAAGUUGAGGUUGAUGUUGAGAAACUAAAUAUUGAAAUGGGGCUUGUUAUUGAUAAUUCUAUUGCCCGGUUAUUAUUGUUUUGUUGUUUGGGUGCGGAAGAGUGUAAAUCACGAAGGGUGAUGCCGUGUCAUUGCAUAUUAUUAUUAUGUGAGGAAGAGUAUAAAGCACGAAGGGUGAUGUCGUGCCAUUUCAUAUUUAUUACUAUGUGAGUAAGAGCGUAAAGCACGAAGAGUGAUGUCGUGUCAUUUAAUACAUUUCAUUGUUCCUUUCAUUUGUUAUGGUGAGGAUGAGAGUAAAAGUACGAAGGAUGAUGCCAUGCACUUGUUUUGUUGUGUUUCUUUACUAUUCUAUUCUCAUGAUCUUGUACUCCCAUCAGCAUAUUUUUUUCCCUCCCGUUAGUAUGUGUUUAGUUUCUAUUAUCUGUUAUUAUGCUCGUAUAUUGCUUAACUGUACAGGUUUAUAUAUGUGUCUUGUCCUAGCCUCGUCACUACUUCGCCGAGGUUAGGCUCGGCACUUACCAGUGUCACACCCAUUUUUUACAACCUCACUAACUCUCUUAAAUAAAUAAAAAGAUUUGUAAAGCUCAAAAGGGUUUUCAAUUCUGAAAGUGACAAAGGAUUGUGUUUCAAAAGAUAUUUCAGAGUCGCCACCUGACAUUGAUUUCGGUGUGUCAGGUCACCAUUUUUAAAAAUGAUUUUUCCUUUAAAACACUUUAGACUCCAAAACUAAGUCCGCACCAGAGAUUUGGGUAAGAGGGUUCAUUUGACUUGGGGAGAAGGUGUUAGGUACUCCCCGAGUCCCGUAACUAGUACGGUUGCGUACAUGAUCAAGUUGGUUUUUAAAAUAUUCGAAUUGAGGUAAUAAAUACAGAAAUGGGAAAAUUAACACAUAAGAGGCUCGAGGUCGUCCCCGCCUAAUAAAGAAAAAUAAAACAAGAAUAAAACACUACAAGUUCUACUUUUAGCCUCCAAUUACAGAAUACUACGGGGCAUUUCCCAGAAUAAAAUAUAUACAAAUCCUUCGGUGCAUUCCCCAGAUGAAUUUAACUAAAGGAACGACCUCUCACCUUAAAACUAACAAAAAUCCUAAAGUUUGCCUACUCAGGUGAUGAUGGACCUAAGCAUACUACUGUCGACUCAAUAGAAUAUAAUAAUAACAAUUGAAAUCAUACGAAGCCCAAAUACCAUGAAGUUUAAUCCCCAACAAACCACAUGGCUCAAAUCCUUUUUUCAAUUUUCAGUACCUCAAACCCCAAUGCCCCUUUAACUCGUUAACUGUUCAACCACCUUAAUUGCUUAGUAAGUAAAUCCAUUCUUGACAUCAAAUAGAUUAAGCAGGGAAGACAAAUCAACCAUUAAUCUAGAACAAAAUAAGAUAACAGAGAGUUUCAUAAAUCAAAUUCACUAUCAAAAUAAAGCAAUUAAAAGAUUUCAAGUUAGAGAAGCGUGAAUGUACCUUUGAUGUCUAAUUCGACCAAGCAGGAGCCUUCAAUCGGAGACGGCAAACCGUGAAUGGACACCUUAAUCGGAAAACCUCACUGCCUCGAUCACGCCUCCAAUUUCGCCGGAAUACUCCACUUAUACAGUCCAUUCCCUUGUGUUAAAGCCACCGACUUUCAUCUCUAAAACAUGGGAACAGCUGCAACGAUGUACUCUUAAUUUUCUUUUGGAGUGUACUGGUCUUUCUAUGAAGAAAAAGUAUGGUCACAAGAACUUUUUGGUAACAAAUAAAAUUGCUAUUUGUGGCGAAUUGGAUAUAUGCCUAGGGUUCUUGGUUUUGUCUCUUUGUUGGAGGAAAAUCACAGUUUCAAGUUAAGGAAUGAAGAUUGAUUUUUGGGAAAGUUGUGUGCGCCAGCCGUAGUCUUAGGGGUAGGCGGCUCGUUGUUGAAGAUUGUUGCUGGACGUCCGGCGAGCUUGGUGGCAUGUGGCUGGAGGCUGAAGGGUGGUGUGGAAGGCUGGUUUUUAGACUGAAGGGGGAGGCGUCGGCGGGUUGGGGCUGCUGCGGCUCUGGCGGCAGGAGGUUCAAUCACUGGAGGUGACGACUCUUAGGCUAAGGGGCCAUUAGGGUUAGAUCUAGGUCUUUUUGGAUAGGGUGACGGCUGGGGGUCCUCUUGAUGGUGUUGAAAGAGGAGAGGAGUUGAGAGAUCUUUGAGGGAGGGGGUCGUUGGGUGACAGGAUGAGGUCAGCGGCUAGGUCGCUGGGUUUGGGUGGCAGAAUGGUAAAGGGGUAGGGGUGUGCGCCUGGUGGAGAGGUGAGGGGGUGGCCGGCGGCUAUGUGGGAUAGUCGGCGGCGGCUUCUUUUUGUGUUCUAAGGUUUGGGGGGUUGAAGAUGGAGAUGAAGUAUCUAGGGUGGGCGGCUGGUUUCUUUUCCCCCCAGGGUUUUAGGUUUAAU
rnacentral:lncRNA from 1 species